UACAGAGGGGGCAAGCGUUGUUCGGAAUUACUGGGCGUAAAGGGCGCGUAGGCGGCCUGCUAAGUCGAACGUGAAAUCCCCGGGCUCAACCCGGGAACUGCGUCCGAUACUGGCAGGCUUGAAUCCGGGAGAGGGAUGUGGAAUUCCAGGUGUAGCGGUGAAAUGCGCAGAUAUCGGGAGGAACACCAAUGGCGAAGGCAGCUCGCUGGGACGGUACUGACGCUGAGGUGCGAAAGCGUGGGGAGCAAACAGG
rnacentral:rRNA from 1 species